rnacentral:rRNA from 1 species
GACGAACGCUGGCGGCGUGCUUAACACAUGCAAGUCGAACGGAAAGGCCCUGCUUUUGUGGGGUGCUCGAGUGGCGAACGGGUGAGUAACACGUGAGUAACCUGCCCUUGACUUUGGGAUAACUUCAGGAAACUGGGGCUAAUACCGGAUAGGAGCUCCUGCUUCAUGGUGGGGGUUGGAAAGUUUCGGCGGUUGGGGAUGGACUCGCGGGUGAUCAGCUUGUUGGGGGGGUAGUGGCUUACCAAGGCUUUGACGGGUAGCCGGCCUGAGAGGGUGACCGGCCCCAUUGGGACUGAUACACGGCCCAGACUCCUACGGGCGGCAGCAGUGGGGAAUAGUGCAAAAUGGGCGGAAGCCUGAUGCAGCAACGCCGCGUGCGGGAUGACGGCCUGUGGGUUGUAAACCGCUUUCGCCUGUGACGAAGAGUUAGUGACGGUAAUGGGUAAAGAAGCACCGGCUAACUACGUG